rfam:Spinacia oleracea cultivar SynViroflay scaffold15606.con0004.1, whole genome shotgun sequence.
GCUGAGCUUAGUAACGUGAGCUUGUUACCCAAGUGGGAGCAUUAACGUGAUGGAACAGGAUUUCGGCUCUCCGGGUCGGGUCCUGUGGUUGGCAAUUGCAGGCUUGCCCUAUCCAAGUUGAGAGUUGGUCCAUGUGGGUUGGGCGAAGGCCUGAUCUUCAUGGGCCUUAGAGUGGAGUGGACCGCGUGAGGCUGGUUUCACAGAGCAACGAAAACCUCCCGCUCUUGUCAGUGGAAGGAUUACGAGCUUGUGCCACCUUGGCCCAUUAGUACUCAGUUGGCUGAUCCUCCAAUGGACCAUCACUUUU